GAAAACAUUGAUGAGAGGCUGCCAGCAUUACCCAUUCAAGAACCCGGAGCUUUUCUUGGUGACAAAUGACGUGGUGUUAGUUUGUGAAUCGAGCGUGGGCAGCUGCUGAGCUGUUUUGGCGCAGAGCUCCCCUCCGAGGUAACACCUCUCCCCUGCGUGGGGCCAGGAGCUGAGUGCUCUGCAUCAUCUGCCCGUGGCUGAUGGGAACCCACAGCCUCUUCCUGCCCUCCUUUGCCAUCACAAUGGGCUCCUUUAGACCUCCCUUUGUUUCUGCAUCAGAGUAAUACCUUGUAGAUCAUGCAGGGAGUUAUAUUUUGGCUGAAUCCUGCAAGAUGGGAGUGCUGUGGGUCUCACUUUGCUAGUGGGGAAUGAGAGUUUCCAGUAAGGACUUGUUUGCAGCUCCCGUUUCCUUAGAGGCUCUAGGUGUUGCUACCUGCUCUGAGGCUUCACAGGAAGCCUUUGGUGGAGUAUAAGAUCAGAUUCAGCUCCAAGCUGUUCCCUGUUUGCUUCUCCUAUAUCAGACAAACUUUUCAGUGAACUUCACUGCAAGGUGGGGCAGCAGAAUGGCCUCAUCUGCUGCUGGGGGGGGCAGAUGUUGCUGGUGGCACAGGGUUUGCCGAGUCCCUAACAGACUGUUUCUUAAUUUGGAUAGGGGCAGGCAAUCAUCACUGGGAUCCAGAGGAGGAGGAGGAAGCAAGUGAAUCACUGCCCAAGUGUGUUACCCCCAUCCAGAUGUCCCUAAGGGCAUAGAAUCAUAGAAUGGCUUGGGUUGGCAGGGACCUUAAUCUAGUUUCAACCCCUCUGCUAUGGUUAGGGACACCUUCCACUAUCCCAGGUUGUUCCAAGCCCCAUCCAACCUGGCCCUGAACACUUCCAGGGUUGGGGCAGCCACAGCUUCUCUGGGCAACCUGUGCCAGGGCCUCACCACCCUCGCAGGGAAGAAUUUAUUCUCAAUAUGCAAUCUAAACCUGCCCUCUGUCAGUUUGAAAACAUUUCCCCGUGUUUUAUCACUACCUCCCCUUGCUCACAGUCCCUCUCUGGCUCUCUUGACUCUCUUUUGGUACUGGGGGCAGGAGCAGUUGGUCCAUACCCCGGGCUCAUGGCAGAGCAUUUGAUGCAAGCAAAGGUCUCUCUGCUGCCCCAUUGCCAUGAGCAGCUGCCCCUGGCAGGGCUUUCCCGUAGUGCUGUCUGGAAAACCGCUCUCUGUCUCCUCUCUUUCCUCUGGCAGCAGCACAGGAAUUCUGCUACAGCCGCAGGGAUCGCUGCCCGCUGCCUCAGUCUUGCCGGCAGCACAGAAGGAUUUCCUCUUGCUUUGACUGCAGCACGGGUUGUUUCUCGGUGGGAUGCUGCUCCUGGCUGUCCCUGACGUGGUUACCGAGGGUGCUGUGGAAGCCGCAGGCACGGAGGACAGCUGGAGCCAUCGGCUGUUUUCCCCGUGGAGCACCGUGCUGUGAGGCCCCGCACAGACACAGCGUGGCACUCUUUUCCAGAGCACCGUGCCUGAUCCCGCGCCAGAGCCCAUCCCUGACCUCGCCAGCAGAGUGAGGCGGCCCCGGUGCUUUCCCAGCCCCGCUUGCCCCCGUGCAUACCCCACUCCAGCCCCCUGGACACUCCAGCCACUCUGGCCGAUGACUCUCAAGCCUGAGGCUGGUGCUCUGCUGGACACCAGAGUCAGAGACCUGCAGCUGCCUGAGCCACCCCAGGGCUCAGCCCCAGGAGUGCUCAGAGGAUGCUCAGAGCAUGAUGUGUGUGCCUGUGCAUCAUGAAUGUUUUGCGGAAAGACCAGCUAGGAAAUAGUUUACAGGGGAGUAUAAUCUUCAUUUUUAACCCUAGGAGAACUGUUUGCAUGUGACUUGGAGGUACUGUUGGUUUCACUUGGUAUUGGGGGAUAUAGUCUGCUUUUUCAUGGUGGAUGUUGCCCUAAUCUGAAUGAGGAUCCAGAUGUGACAGCUGAGGCUUCAGGAGAUGGAAAUGCAACCAAACCAAUCCAGAGGAAAGAGACACCCAGCCACCUCUCCCCCAAAAAAGCCCUGUUGGUGCCUGGGGUAAAAUAUGCAUUGUGGCCAGGAAAGAGCUUUUUCAGCCUAGAAAAACCCAAGGAACUGAAUUUGGCCUUGGCCCAAGGUGGCUGGUGGUGUUGGACAAGUCUCCUGGUACUUUUUGGUGGGUGCAACAACACUCGUAGCCCUCCAAGAGCAAUGUCCUGGGGCCAAACAGCUUCAGGCCCACCGGGACCACCCAAAAGAGAGGGACUAGCGCUGCUCUCCCCACUGCAGGAGAAUGAUGGUUGCAGCUUCAAUUUAAAUAAUUGUUACCAGGAUUUCAGCAGUGACUCAUUGGUCUUCCCUUGUUAGCAGGGAACUAUCUGGGGACACACCCUGCUCCGUGUUGCCAAGGCACUUCGACUAGAGGGACUUUCUGCACCUUCUUCUGCUCCUUCCUCUCGCCUUUUUUUUUUCCAAAAUAGCCCUGGCUUGGCAGAACAUCUCAGCUCUGUGGGCACAAACAGAGUGCAUGUGCACAGGGCUAACUGCACCCCAAACUCUACUCUGCCAUGGCAGCUGGACUCUUGAAUUUUUGCUCUUAGUUUUAACAGAGAUGGGGAAGAGAUCGUUUUGCUGGACCACUGAGCAUCUUGCGGAUCAAUCCAUACAGCUUUGUCACCAGGAUGUCAUCUGCAUCCUGAGGUCCCAGCAUGGCAGAUCAGUGUUUGGUUCACCUUGACCAGGUGGGCACCUUGAGGAAGGGCAAAUAUGGGAUGGUGAGACAGGAGGGGAAUGAACUCAUUUAAGAUGUUUUAAUUUUCAGAAUCCUUCCAGGCUUAAAGCAUGUUUUCAUUUUCAGUAUUUUCUUCUGUUUUCUUUCCAACAACUGGUUUGGAAGGCUGUUCUACCAAUGAAAUAGGAACAAAAUUGUGUUUUCCCUCACUCCUUGACAGUGGCUGUCUGCCAUCAGCAGUGGCAGUCUGGGCUAGGUUUGUUUAAUUCAUCCUUAGUCUCCAGGCAGCACAGGGAGGCUCAGGAGAUGGAGGAGGAAACCUCUUCUCCUGUAUAAGAACAUUUCCUUCCAUGUGCUGCUGGAUUUUGUUGUCCAUAACAAAGUCCCUCCUCAGCAUGGAAAACAAAACCCAAGAAGAAAAUACGAACCUCAUCUUUUGGGACCAGCGUCCUAGAAGGACCUCACUUUAAAUCCCCCCCCCCAAAAUUUGAGGAACAUGUAUUUUAAAUACGAUGUUAUAAAAACGUGGUAAAUAUUUAAUUUUAUUUUUAUUAAAUACUAAAUUGAUGAUGGCUGACACUUUAUUAAAGUGUCAAAGUGAGUGUUCCUACAUUCUAAUUACUUAUUCUAACAAGGAGGCAGCCUCGUCGGGAGCCGCGCGUGCCGGCGCGCGCAGGCGAGGGGCGCUCCUGUUAAGUAACACCUAUUAAACUAUCAUUUGCACCUAGAGGCAUCUCAUUAAUAUCUCAACUGGUGAGACUGCGCUGCCAGUGCCUACCUGACCCGGGGCGUUGACAGGAGAAAUGGCUCCGGGAGGCCUUUCCUCGCUCCAGGCUUUCCUGUACAAAUAAUUCCUAUAAAAUUAAUAACGACUAUUCCACUUAAUUGAAUUCCUGAUAAAUGAAGAUUCUUCCAGGCCCCUGUUAAAAGCAUCCAAGAUGCAGGAGAAGCACUGCACUGCAUUCUGGGGACAGUUUUGUUCUUCCCCUCUCUCCCAUUCUUGCUUCCUUUGUCUCUCCAAGCCUCUUUCCACCCUAUUCAUGUCUCCCGCUACUGCCUCCUUAUCACUCUUUCCCUUCAUUUCCUGACCAUGCCUUCUCUUUUCUGCAGCAGUUUCCUUUCUGAUCUCCCAUUUGAUUCCCUUCCACUUCUCUGGCUCUACCUGGAACUAUAUUUAUGGCUACUUAUCUUGAUGGCUAAUUUUCCUUCUGGAGCCUUCUUCUUCUUUCCUCUCUUCUCCUUCCAUCUUAAUUUCCCUUACAGCCCUCUUCCAUCUGGCUCUUCAUCUCACGAGUAAGACCUGUUUCUCGUAGGGUUCCUUCCAGGCCCUGAAAUGGUUGUCUUAGAGGAAUCUCCUGAUGUGAGAUCCCUAUUGGAUGAGGUUGUGGCAUUCAAGAGCUGUCCAGUCACCAAGAUGAUAUGUCCUCCCCCAAAGUGGAGUCUGCCAUCCUCAAAAAUUUGUGGAACAUGCAUUCAUCCCACCUUCCCCAUGGAUGGAGAGAUACCUGUGUGGAGAGCAGAUUGUCCUCAAGACAGAGUUCAUAUGGCCACGACUUGGAUGCCAAAUCAUUACAACAGAGGCGAGGCUACUCCUUCAGCACUAAAGGUGACUCACAAGCAGCACCACUCUGGGAAAGUUAAAAGUGAUAAUUCGACAAGACUAGAGGAUUGUGUGGGACUCAAAGGGAUGAAACAGCCUUGCAGGGGCUCUCCUUCCUCUGUCUCUUAGUGCUGAAUGAAAGUGGAAAGCCAGAUCAAUUCAGAGCUGCUGAAAAAUAAAAGAUGAUCACGUCUUCAUGAACACCCAGGAUUUGUCAUAAAAUAAAUUCUGCCACCUCUGUCUUCUCACUUCUGCUCUCAAGUGUCAGUGAGCGCUCUCCAGAAGCCGUUUCCAAUGUCUGUGCUGGAGUUACCCCAGUCUUGGAGGAUCAGGAAACAACCUUAGUUUCAGAAAGGCCUUCCCAAAUGUGUCAGCAUCCUGAACAACAUUUGGAAAGCAGACCCUGAGUGUAAAUCCAGGGUGAACCUCCAGCCAGGUUCUUUUGCUGUGGUGAAAUGCUGACAUGGGCAGAAUCAUCAUCAUAUGAUUGACCUAACCUGAGUCAAAAAUACUGAUGACUAAGUGAAUGAGGAAGCUGAGGAGAAAAACUGCUGACAUAUUGAUGUCCAAUCUGUCCUGGAACGUAUGAAAGCACGUGGGGAAACUGAGGCACAGAGAUCUAAUCCAAAUUCUCCAAGGUGUGAGAUGCUUGGCUCUCUUUAAAAUUAAAGGGACAGAGACAUCUGACAUUUUUGACAGUUUGUGUCUGAUUCACCUGUUCAAGGUCACACAGGACACUUGUAGAGAGGUAAUAAAGAAAACUGAAUGCAAAUUUUCUGUGGUUUAUCCCAGAAUCUGAAUCGUUUAGUUGAAAUGUGACCCAUCAUGAGGAAGAACAGAGGGCUUGGAUAAGCUGUUCUAUGUUUCAGUGAACUCCAUCUCAUAGGAAAAUAGAAACUAUUUAUGUGGAGUUAGAGUCCAAAUGCUAUUGUCUGCUGGUACAUUUCCUGGAGAAGAAGGUGAACCUACCACAUCCAUUGAUCAGCCCCAGAUGCAUGAAUUUCCAGUUACCUCCAUGGAGUGGAAAUAUGAAAUUUGCUCACCAGCUUCUGUGCAGGAGAACUAUAGGAGGAUUUGGGAGAACUAUAGGAAUACUGAUUCAUGAAUCAUCCUUGCUGCCCAGAUACAGGGAGCUUCCAGAACAUGAGCUUGUGAUGAGGCUCCCUCACCCUUGGAAAGUCCUUUUCAAGUGGUCUUGGAUCCAGGAAGGAUCAGUUCCAUGACAGGCAGUAGAGCUUCAAUGCAGAAAUGAGAUCUGGAGAAGGAGGAGAAUACAUUCAAAAACCAAUCAAACCCCAUCCCUGGUAAUGUGGGCAUCUCCUUGAAAGCACCUUUCCCCCUGCAGACACAAAGAGAUCCCAUUCCAGCACACCCUUGCAGCAAAGUUCAUGGCUGUCCCUGGAGGUGGGUAUUCAGGGAGCCAGGAAUCUGUGGUUCAUUUCCUUUUUAAGUGUGAGUGUCCUGACAGGAGACUAUAGGAACAAAUGAAAGCACUUGCUCUGUGCCCAAAAUUUGCAGUAGUUUCUCCACUGCAGGUAUCUUACCUGCCCUGAGAACUCUGAAGUUGUGAUGUCAUGUGCUAAGGUUCAUGAACACUUUUGAAGGCUCUUUUUGAAUGAACCCAGCCCAAAAGAUGUCUCUGUGUGUGAGAACCACGUGGUCUCAUUUGCCAUCCCCUUGAUUUCUAAGAUUCUGUUGGAUUUGAAGCUCGAAGUAAAACCCGUGAGAACAAAACCUUGGAGGGAUCAAAUGGAAAACAUCCUCCUGGUUCUCUGUGCUGGAGGAAAACCACUGGAUUCAUCGUUCUAGCGUGUUUUGUUUGGUUUUGUGUGUGCUUUUUUUUUUCCUAGUAUGGAGAAAUCCCUGUGUGGUUUGGGUUUGCGAGAAGGAUUUUCCCUUCAUGCGCUGCCACAACCACUGAGAUCAGCUGAGGCACUCGAGUGAACGGAUCCUGGAUGUAAUUGUCUGAGGGCUGGUGCCAGGUUUUUUCAGAAGAGGGACUGACUGGCUGCGUUUCAGUUCCACCUCUGCCUUGACAGAGCCUGUCUCCUUUAAUCAUUAGAGUUCAGUGCACGGCUCUCGCCUGGCACGAGUUGGAAUUUCAUUUGUUUUGGAGGAAGGUUGCUUCUUUUGUUAGUUUAGGUCUUUUGGUUUCAGUUGUGUAAACUGAGACAGGCCGAUCCCAUUGGCUCUGAGGAGCUGACAGCCAGGAGAAGGCUGGUCUGCUAUUCAGUUUUGGGGUUUGGUUUUAAAUCUUUAGAACGUUCUGGUUUCUGUAAUUAGGCAUGUUUUACAAACUCUGAACUGUAUAAUUGUGUGCUUUUCCAAACUCAGGGCAGUCAACACAAACUCAGCGCCAUAAACUGAGUUUCCUUGAGCAAACCGAGUUUUGAAUUUAUUCAAAUGGAAGAAAAUGUUGUGUUAUUACAGCUAUGCAAAACUCUAGUUAAUUUAUGGUAGUAUAAAAUCCAUUUUUUAAUGACUGUGACACUGCCAAAAUCUUUGCAGAUGCAGAAACAGCUUCACAGGAGGAUUUCAAUCUAACAUCAACAGGAGAUUUGGAAGAUGAAUUGUGCAAGGAUCUCCUUCCUCCAAAGAUGCUGCUUUGUUUUGCUUUUUAGCAUUUGGUUUGGCUCUAAUAUUGUCUGGUUUAUGAUGUUUUAAUUAUUGCUGUUUAUUUAUUAUAAUCAUAUUUUAAUUGUUUGUGUAGUGCCUUGAGUGCCUUGGCAGGGGGGCAUAUUAUAAAUUAAAUUAUUAUUAAAAUGUU